rnacentral:hammerhead_ribozyme from 1 species
AUUCAGCCGACGAGUCCCGAAUGGGGUGAAACAUGCGUCCUGGAU